CUUGACCGAGCCGAGCCACAGGGGCCUGGUGCGGUCCUGCCCGUAGGCGGCGAGGAGCGCCCGCGCCUC
rnacentral:antisense_RNA from 1 species